rnacentral:lncRNA from 1 species
GUGGGAGUCAACAUCCACCACAGCAAGGACAGAAAGGUUGGGUGCAGGGAGCCCAAGAGCUGGACAUCUACCUACGGCUGUUGGUCAAGCUGUCCACCUUCAGCCAGGUUAUACUGAAGAGGCUUUUUGUGAAUCGCACCAACCAGCCACCUCUGAUCCUGACCGGAAAAUGAAGCUUCCAGGCCCGGAAAACAAAACGGCUGUGGUUUCAGGCCCACAGCUGCGGCUGUGUGGGUUCAGGAGGUGCCCAGAGUAAAGCCUCGCACUGCGUGUGAGCGGCCAGGGCCCAGCCGCAUCCCCACGGCUGGGGCAAGAUCCGUACCUUUGAGCAGCUGGCCCUGGACUCCCGCAAGAGCUGUGGCACCAUCUUGCUUUUUGGCCCUCGAAAGGGCCCAUAGGGACACUGGCAUUUACCCCGGGAACCCCACACAGCUACACCAAACCCUACGUGGGUUCCAAGGGCCGAAAUUUUCACUGUGCCAGGGCCCCAUGGGCCAGCCGCACUAUAAAA